AUAUUACAAUGUUUAACCUAUAUGUCCAACAUAUCCCCAGAUAGCUUGGAUCUGAGCGCUCAAUAUGUCUUAUGUUAAAAGUCCCCUAUAGUACAAGGAAGGAUGGGGUCAGAAAAUAGCAAGGGCUGAUGGGAGAUUGAGGAGGGUCAAAGCAGCCAGUUUAAACUGGUCUUGCAGUGUCCCUGGGACAACACCCUGCUGGAGAAACAAUAGGACAGGAAAAAGGGGGAGGGGAAGAGGCACAUUUUCCCAUGAAUUUAAAG